rnacentral:hammerhead_ribozyme from 1 species
AUCCAACUGACAAGUCUCAAAUGGGACGAAACACACGUCCUGUAU